UAAUACGAAGGGGGCUAGCGUUGUUCGGAAUUACUGGGCGUAAAGCGCACGUAGGCGGAUCGAUCAGUCAGGGGUGAAAUCCCAGGGCUCAACCCUGGAACUGCCUUUGAUACUGUCGAUCUGGAGUAUGGAAGAGGCGAGUGGAAUUCCGAGUGUAGAGGUGAAAUUCGUAGAUAUUCGGAGGAACACCAGUGGCGAAGGCGGCUCACUGGUCCAUUACUGACGCUGAGGUGCGAAAGCGUGGGGAGCAAACAGGA
rnacentral:rRNA from 1 species